GAUGAAGAACGCAGCGAAAUGCGAUAAGUAAUGUGAAUUGCAGAAUUCAGUGAAUCAUCGAAUCUUUGAACGCACAUUGCGCCCGCCAGUAUUCUGGCGGGCAUGCCUGUCUGAGCGUCAUUUCAACCCUCAUGCCCCUAGGGCGUGGUGUUGGGGAUCGGCCAAAGCCCGCGAGGGACGGCCGGCCCCUAAAUCUAGUGGCGGACCCGUCGUGGCCUCCUCUGCGAAGUAGUGAUAUUCCGCAUCGGAGAGCGACGAGCCCCUGCCGUUAAUCCCCCAACUUUCCAAGGUUGACCUCAGAUCAGGUAGGAAUACCCGCUGAACUUAAGCAUAUCAAUAAGCGGAGGA
rnacentral:misc_RNA from 1 species